AUGAAUGCUGGCGGCAUGCCUAAUACAUGCAAGUCGAGCGGCAGCAUGGGUCUCAUCCUGUCUGAAGCGAUUCGAGAAUAGAAUGAGACCUGAUGGCGAGCGGCGGACGGCUGAGUAACGCGUGGGAACGGACCCCAAACUGAGGGAUAACUACUCGAAAGAGUGGCUAAUACCGCAUGUGAUCUUCGGAUUAAAGGAUUUAUCCGGUUUGGGACUGGCCUGCGUACGAUUAGAUAGUUGGUGAGGUAAUGGCUCACCAAGUCGACGAUCGUUAGAUGGUUUGAGAGGAUGAUCAUCCAGACUGGGACUGAGACACGGCCCAGACUCCUACGGGAGGCAGCAGUAGGGAAUCUUUCACAAUGGGCGAAAGCCUGAUGGGAAGCAAUGCCGCGUGCAGGACGAAGGCCUUCGGGUUGUAAACUGCUUUUAUAAGCGAGGAAUAUGACGGUAACUUAUGAAUAAGGAUCGGCUAACUACGUGCCAGCCGCAGC
rnacentral:rRNA from 1 species